rnacentral:rRNA from 1 species
GAUGAACGCUGGCGGCGUGCUUAACACAUGCAAGUCGAACGGUGACGGCGGAGCUUGCUCUGCUGGCUCAGUGGCGAACGGGUGCGUAUCACGUGAGCAAUCUGCCCUUGAUUUUGGGAUAAGAGCUGGAAACGGCGUCUACUACUGGAUACGAGCUGCGAAGGCGUUUUCAGCAGCUGGACAGCAUUGCGGUCAGGGAUGAGCUCGCGGCUUACCGGCUAGUUGGUGGGGUAAUGGCUCACCAAGCCGUCGACGGGUAGCCGGCUUGAGAGGGGGACCGGCCACACGAGGACUGAGACACGCACCAGACGCCAACGGGAGACAACAGUGGCGAAUAUGGCACAAUGAUCGAGAGCCUGAGACAGCAGCGCCGCGUGUGUGACGACGGCCUGCGGGUUAAAAACCUCAGUUGGCAAGGAAGAAGCGGAAGUGACGGUACCUGCAGAAAAAGCGCCGGCUAACUACGUG